UACGAAGGGGGCUAGCGUUGUUCGGAGUUACUGGGCGUAAAGGGCGCGUAGGCGGCGCACCAAGUCAGGCGUGAAAGCCCCUGGGCUCAACCCGGGAAUUGCGCUUGAGACUGGUGUGCUCGAGUACGGGAGAGGAUAGUGGAAUUCCCAGUGUAGAGGUGAAAUUCGUAGAUAUUGGGAAGAACACCGGUGGCGAAGGCGGCUAUCUGGACCGUAACUGACGCUGAGGCGCGAAAAGCGUGGGGAGCAAACAGG
rnacentral:rRNA from 1 species